AUUGAACGCUGGCGGCAUGCUUUACACAUGCAAGUCGAACGGUAACAGGCCGCAAGGUGCUGACGAGUGGCGAACGGGUGAGUAAUGCAUCGGAACGUGCCCAGUCGCGGGGGAUAACUACUCGAAAGAGUAGCUAAUACCGCAUACGAUCUAUGGAUGAAAGCGGGGGACCGUAAGGCCUCGCGCGAUUGGAGCGGCCGAUGUCAGAUUAGGUAGUUGGUGGGGUAAAGGCUCACCAAGCCAACGAUCUGUAGCUGGUCUGAGAGGACGACCAGCCACACCGGGACUGAGACACGGCCCAGACUCCUACGGGAGGCAGCAGUGGGGAAUUUUGGACAAUGGGCGCAAGCCUGAUCCAGCAAUGCCGCGUGCAGGAAGAAGGCCUUCGGGUUGUAAACUGCUUUUGUACGGAACGAAACGGCUCUGGUUAAUACCCGGGGCUAAUGACGGUACCGUAAGAAUAAGCACCGGCUAACUACGUG
rnacentral:rRNA from 1 species